UUUACAUGAUGAUUAUUCGAAAGAAUUCUGCAAUUCCGACAACCUCCGUGUAUUCAAUACAUUGUGAGGUUGCAUGUUGACUUAUUCUACACUUGAUCUGAGA
rfam:Penicillium arizonense strain CBS 141311 PENARI_contig003, whole genome shotgun sequence.